AGCGAACGCUGGCGGCAGGCCUAACACAUGCAAGUCGAACGGGCUCUUCGGAGCUAGUGGCGGACGGGUGAGUAACACGUGGGAACGUGCCUUUAGGUUCGGAAUAAGCCCGGGAAACUGGGUCUAAUACCGAAUGUGCCCUUCGGGGGAAAGAUUUAUCGCCUUUAGAGUGGCCCGCGUCUGAUUAGCUAGUUGGUGGGGUAAUGGCCCACCAAGGCGACGAUCAGUAGCUGGUCUGAGAGGAUGACCAGCCACAUUGGGACUGAGACACGGCCCAAACUCCUACGGGAGGCAGCAGUGGGGAAUCUUGCGCAAUGGGCGAAAGCCUGACGCAGCCAUGCCGCGUGGAUGAUGAAGGUCUUAGGAUUGUAAAAUCCUUUCACCGGUGAAGAUAAUGACUGUAGCCGGAGAAGAAGCCCCGGCUAACUUCGUGCCAGCCGCCGCCGUAACAC
rnacentral:rRNA from 1 species